GUUACGUUAUACGUACAAUAUGCACUAGAUUGUUGGUUUAAGGUUAGUUCAUGCGCUGAGAAUAUUUUCCUAAUUUUUUCAUAUUUUUAUAAAUAUUUUUUUCUAUUUUUUAUUUAUUUUUACAUAUUUUUUGAAUUUUAAUAAAUGAUAUUCGUAAAAAAAUAUUUUCUCAACGAAAAUUAUCAUUUACAAAUUACGCGACCUUUUUGGGAGUGCACAGGCUCCGUCUCAAAUCAAAACGUGCAGUUCGGGCCCGCAUAUGUGUAGUAUGAUUCUCUGGCAAAAUCAUGCCAUGUCUACUCCUGUCACUUGGGUUUUUUUAAGCAUAUAUAAGGGGGGUAGAGGUGUUGAAGGCACUUCAAGGUGACUGUCGGUAGUUGGCAUAGGCGCUCAAUGGCCAUGUGGGCGAGCAGCGUGGGCGCAUGGCAGCAUGCAUGGCUAGUCCGUGCGAGCCGUCCGUGCCCGUGUAGCAACGUCGGCGGCGCUUCAUUGUACGCUCGUGUAGGCUAUCGGUGGCGUCGUUCGCGACGGAGCUGCUGGCGCUUGAAUUCGGACGAGGCGGUGCUAUCGUGCGAGCGGCAAGUCCUGGAUGCUGCCCUCUGGGCGAGCUCCAGGCGCUGCACGCAUGCGGCCGAGCCCAAUCCGUUGACGAGCGCCGGCGGCCGUCGUGGCCGGCGCCCGUGCAUGAGCCGAGCGUGCCUUCAUCUCCUCUGCUCCCCCCACCGGGCGGGCUAUCGUGUCAAGCGGGACUUGCUUCAAGCCUUGCAACGUCCGCANGGGGCUGCUGGCGCUAGUCUUCGGACGAGGCGGUGCCUUCGUGCGAGCGGCGAGUACUGGAUGCUGCUCUCGGGGCAAGCUCCAGGCGCUGUAUUUAUGUAAGACGAACAACUACGAAAGCAUUUGCCAAGGAUGUUUUCAUUAAUCAAGAACGAAAGUUGGGGGCUCGAAGACGAUCAGAUACCGUCCUAGUCUCAACCAUAAACGAUGCCUACCAGGGAUUAGCGGAUGUUGCUUUUAGGACUCCACCGGCACAUUAUGAGAAAUCAAAGUUUUUGGGUUCCGGGGGGAGUAUGGUUGCAAGGCUGAAACUUAAAGGAAUUGACGGAAGGGCACCACCAGGAGUGGAUCUUGCGGCUUAAUUUGACUCAACACGGGGAAACUUACCAGGUCCAGACAUAGUAAGGAUUGACAGACUGAGAGCUCUUUCUUGAUUCUAUGGGUGGUGGUGCAUGGCCGUUCUUAGUUGGUGGAGCGAUUUGUCUGGUUAAUUCCAUUAACGAACGAGACCUCAGCCUGCUAACAAGCUAUGCGGAGGUAUCCCUUCGCGGCCAGCUUCUUAGAAGGACUACGGCCUUUUAGGCCGUGGAAGUUUGAGGCAAUAACAGGUCUGUGAUGCCCUUAGAUGUUCUGGGCCGCACGCGCACUACACGGAUGUAUUCAAUGAGUUUAUAGCCUUGGCCGACAGGCUCGGGUAAUCUUUGAAAUUUCAUUGUGAUGGGGACAGAUCAUUGAAAUUGUUCAUCUUCAACGAGGAAUUCCUAGUAAGCGCGAGUCAUCAGCUCGCGUUGACUACGUCCCUGCCUUUUGUACACACCGCCCAUCGCUCCUACCGAUUGAAUGAUCCGUGAAAUGUUCGGAUCGCGGCGACGUGGGCGGUUCGCUGCCCGCGACGUCGCGAGAAGUCCAUUGAACCUUAUCAUUUAGAGGAAUAAGAAGUCGUAACAAGGUUUCCAUAGGUGAAUCUGCGAAAG
rnacentral:rRNA from 1 species